rnacentral:rRNA from 1 species
AGCUCCAAUAGCGUAUAUUAAUGUUGUUGCAGUUAAAAAGCUCGUAGUUGGAUCUCGAAGCGUCGGAGGCGUCGGUCCGCCGUGAAGGUGUGCACUGGCCCGCCCGCUUUUUCCUUGGGGACGUUCGCCGGCGCCAUUAGCUUGGCGCCGGUAUUCCGGCCUCGGCCGGUUUCGCGCGGCGCGUCGCUCCGGCGCGCGUCGCGUGGAAUGCCUCAUCGUUUACCUUGAAUAAAUUAGAGUGUUCCAAGCAGGCAUGUUCGCCGUGAAUACAUUAGCAUGGGAUAAUGGAAUAGGACUUUGGUGCUAUUUCGUUGGUUUUCUGAACCAGAGUAAUGAUUAAUAGGGACAGUUGGGGGCAUUCGUAUUUAAUUGUCAGAGGUGAAAUUCUUGGAUUUAUGAA